UAAAAGAUAGUUUAAACCAAAAUUCUAGCUUUGGGAGCUAUUGAUGGAUGCAUAUUCCUCUUUUAA
rnacentral:tRNA from 1 species